rnacentral:lncRNA from 1 species
CGGUGGACGGUCACGUGAUACCCCCCAGUGUACCUUUCCUGCAGCGUGUUACGUGGCGCACAGAGAACGUCGCUUCCAGAGGACCGUUUUUUCGUAACUGGCAGUAGUAAUCUGGCGGUUGACACUCUCAUUGCCUGUAUAGGCUGAUGGCCCACUCACCUUUUUAGCUGGGCUCCUGACCUGUCCGGCCAGAAAGUUGCCAUUGGGAAACCUGGACCCCUACUGAAUGGAUCUGCUGGCACCUAGACCUCAGAGAAAGGGGAACUGAAGACUGAAGUCUGACCACUGUUCUUUGUUGAAAAUUUCUUUCUCAGGGGCUUGGAGGGAUCACAUCUACAAUCCUGAGCUAAUAUUCUCUUAUGCUGUCCCCAAAAUUUAAACGAAGCUUCUCUUUCUUAACCCAUUGCAAAUGAGAAAAAUCUUGAAUCUCCCUAUGACUGUAAGCCCUUAUUUCAAGAUAUCCCGCCUUUUUAGGCCAAAACCAAAGUGUAACCUCCAUCUAUUGAUUUACAAUUUUGCCUGUAACUUUGGCUUUCCUGAAAUUUACCCCAGCCUUAAAAAAAAAAAAGAACAGAAAAAGAAAACUGCAAGGCAUCAGGGAGGUCAGAAUUUGGGCAUGAGCUGCCUGAUCCUCCUUGCUUUGCAUCUUUGCAAAUAGAUGCCUUCAGCUGUGCAUGAUGGCUCACACCUCUCAUCCCAGCACUUUGGGAGGCCAAGGCGGGAGGAUUGCUCCAUCCCAGGAGUUCGAGAUCAGGGGCAAAAUGCCGAAACCCUGUCUCUACAAAAAAUUUAAAAAUUAGCUGGGCAUGAUGGUGCACUUCUGUAGUCCCAGCUACUUGGGAGGCUGAGGCAGGGGGAUUCCUUGAGCCCAAGAGGUUGAGGCUACAGUGAGCCAUCAUCGUGCCACUGCACUCCAGCCUGGGAAACAGAAUGAGACCCUGUCUCAAAACAAAACAUUUGAAAAAUAACAAGUUCAGGUGCAGUGGCUCAUACCUGUAAUCCCAGCACUUUGGGAGGCCAAAGUGGUCGGAUCACUUGAGGCCAGUAGUUCAUGACCAGCCUGGCCAACAUGGCAAAACCCCAUCUCUACUAAAAAUACAAAAAUUAGCUGGGUGUGGUGGCUGGCAACUGUAGUCCCAGCUACUCCGGAGGCUGAGGCAGGAAAAUCACUUGAACCCAGGAGGCGGAGGUUGAAGUGAGCCGAGAUCACACCACUGCACUCCAGCCUGGGCAACAGAGCAAGACUCCGUCUCCAAAAAUAACAAAAAAUAAACACAUGCCUUCCUUCCUACUGCUGCACAACCUCACUGUGUCAGGCAGGCAUCUCUGGAUCCAGCUGGUUUUUGUUUUGCUGAGGCUCGGCUUCUUCCUGGAACUUUUUGAAACAACACUCAAGGGUCUCAAAUGGCUGACAUGAUGGUCUGUGACCUGAAAGUUGUUGAAUAGUUGGAGUGUUCUGCAUUCAUGUGGAAGAGGCUAAAGGAUGUUUGAUGAAGCACUAUGGGCUGCCCUGGAAGAGGACUGAAGAAGCAGCUGCAGGUGAGUGCUGCUCUGAACAUAAUCCAGGACACUUUGUACAUAGUUGGUGGUUCUGUCACACUUAAAGCAAUGUUAAUUUCUUUAUUUUUAUUUUUUUAGAAUCAAGGUCUCUGUUGCCCAGGCUAGAGGGCAGUGGUGCAAUCACAGCUCACUGCAGCCUCAACAUCCC